rnacentral:rRNA from 1 species
AGAGUUUGAUCCUGGCUCAGGACGAACGCUGGCGGCGUGCUUAACACAUGCAAGUCGAACGGUAAGGCCCUUCGGGGUACACGAGUGGCGAACGGGUGAGUAACACGUGGGUAAUCUGCCCUGCACAUCGGGAUAAGCCUGGGAAACUGGGUCUAAUACCGAAUAGGACCACAGAACACAUGUCCUGUGGUGGAAAGCUUUUGCGGUGUGGGAUGGGCCCGCGGCCUAUCAGCUUGUCGGUGGGGUGAUGGCCCACCAAGGCGACGACGGGUAGCCGGCCUGAGAGGGUGUCCGGCCACACUGGGACUGAGAUACGGCCCAGACUCCUACGGGAGGCAGCAG